AUGCACGCUGGCGGCGUGCCUAAUCCAUGCAAGUCGAGCGAACAGACGAGGAGCUUGCUCCUCUGACGUUAGCGGCGGACGGGUGAGUAACACGUGGAUAACCUACCUAUAAGCCUGGGAUAACUUCGGGAAACCGGAGCUAAUACCGGAUAAUAUAUUGAACCGCAUGGUUCAAUAGUGAAAGACGGUUUUGCUGUCACUUAUAGAUGGAUCCGCGCCGCAUUAGCUAGUUGGUAAGGUAACGGCUUACCAAGGCAACGAUGCGUAGCCGACCUGAGAGGGUGAUCGGCCACACUGGAACUGAGACACGGUCCAGACUCCUACGGGAGGCAGCAGUAGGGAAUCUUCCGCAAUGGGCGAAAGCCUGACGGAGCAACGCCGCGUGAGUGAUGAAGGUCUUCGGAUCGUAAAACUCUGUUAUUAGGGAAGAACAAAUGUGUAAGUAACUAUGCACGUCUUGACGGUACCUAAUCAGAAAGCCACGGCUAACUACGUG
rnacentral:rRNA from 1 species